rnacentral:rRNA from 1 species
AGAGCGAACGCUGGCGGCAUGCUUAACACAUGCAAGUCGCACGGUCGUUGCCAGCAAUGGGGACGGCAGUGGCGGACGGGUGAGUAACGCGUAGGAAUCUAUCCAUGGAUGGGGGAUAACGUCGGGAAACUGACGCUAAUACCGCAUGACGCCUGAGGGCCAAAGGUCGCAAGACCGUCUGUGGAGGAGCCUGCGUACGAUUAGCUUGUUGGUGGGGUAAUGGCCUACCAAGGCGACAAUCCGUAGCUGGUCUGAGAGGACGACCAGCCACACCGGAACUGAGACACGGUCCGGACUCCUACGGGAGGCAGCAGUGGGGAAUAUUGGACAAUGGGGGAAACCCUGAUCCAGCGACGCCGCGUGUGUGAAGAAGGCCUGCGGGUUGUAAAGCACUUUAGUGGGACAAAAGCUACGGAUUAAUACUUCGUGGUCUUGAUUUAACCCAAAGAAAAGCACCGGCUAACUCUGUGCCAGCAGCCGAC